UCGAGCAUCGCGUUUUACGCGUAUCACCUGGGUCUGCGGACAAAAACUCCAGCGCGACGUCUGUUUUUGCGCACCAAGUCAAAGUCAGCUGUUCGACGAGUUCGUCACCGGCCCAGGCGAACCUUGUAUACAGUCGGCCGUCUUCUGUUUAUGUAUAUCGUCAAUACGUGUGUGUCGACUGGGCAUUUAACCUAUACAAAUGUAACGAAUAUUCAGCGCUGCUUAGUCCUUUCAAUUUUCAAAUUCCCCACUUCUCUACCUCUCUUAAUCGAUGGCCCACUAUCUAUAUAAAUAGGCUCGUUUAAUGCGAUCGCUGUGUGCGAGUAAUCUGCCAAUUGCAGAUUUUUCGAGCAGACUGCCAGAAAUGAAGAUAAAGCAACGAUCCUGUGAAUUCGCAGCUAGAUCAGAGUUACCGGCGAACCAUGUGUUGAUCUAUGCUGUGAGUCCACUUGGAAGAAGAGUACAAUUCACAGUUAAUCGGGACGUAUUAUUGGCGCAAAUCGGAAAAAAUCUGAGGAUACUUCGAAUAAUUCCUGGACCACGAAAUUUCCGAUGGCCGGAGGAAAUGCUGUUGCAAGGAAGAUACAUCAGAUUAAAGAUAUCCAACAGACAUCGAUUUCCGCACGUGUACCCCGACGACGAGGAGGAAGUAGUCGAUCGAUAGAGGAAUUGCUCGAGAUUUGAAUACGUAUUUUAAGUUUCCAGCGUUAACUACUUUUUUAAAACCAUUGACGCGACAAAGUAUAUAUUGUCUAGUUUGUUAUUAAAUCGUACGGAUGCCAUUAAUUACUCGUGCUUCGAGUGGUAAUUACAAUUUUGUAUAUUACUGACACGACGAUGUUCCUUGACUGCAAGUUCUGUAUCGAUCGACGUACUAUUUUUAGAAAUCGAUGUACUAUCGGCGUUUGUAAGAUAUGAAUUUCUUGUAUUAUAACAGUGCGAAUAUAUAAAAAUGUCAAAUGCUUAAAAUGUUUCGUACAUGUUAAACUCGUCAACGCUUAAACUCAUUUCAAAUCUGCGUUGUUUCGUCGCAGACUUUUUGAGCCGAGCGUCGAAAAUGGAGAGACACGGUCAGUCACGCAUGGAAUUUACAGUCGAUCGGAGAAUUGUGCGCCGAGUUCUUUCUCUAGAACGAGAUCGACAACGACGACAGUCGGCGAAUAGAGGAAUAUUGCGAGAUAGAGGGCAUUAGACUUCCAUUCUCGAUGGAGACGAUGUCGAUCGAUCGAUGAAUUUCUCGCGAUUUGAAGAUUCUUCAAAAUCUGCGCGUCUCAGAUUGUGAUAAAACGUAAACGCGAAUACCGGUGAAGGUCUCGAAUCUGAAAUCAAACUUCUACCAUCGGAGAUCUUGGAUGGCUUAUGGUCGGUAGAACUUGCGGGAGAAUGUUUUAGCGAACGUUCGAGCACACCAAGAUCGUCAUCGUGCGUAAUCGCGGUACAGAAAGAUGAUCGUUGAAAAUAGUUACGCAACCGAAUAACGGAAGCCUGCAUCGAGCUAAACGGUAGUACCGAAAAAGGAAAGGUUCGAUUCGCGUUCGCAAUCGAUCGGAAGACAGGGACAUCUAUUAAUUUAUAUCAUCGGGUUUUAAGUGACUGUCGUAAUGGGCCAAUAAAAUUUAUAAGCGGCAACAUAUCCGGCGCGUGGGCGAUUGUUUACGACGAUUGCCGACCACGAUCUCAAAUUUAAUAAUGAAGUCGGUGUCCGUCGUUCCUACGGGCAGAUCGACGUGUGUGCUAAUGAAGAAAUGUUUGCCAUAAUGUCUUCGGACGUAACGAUAAUUACGAGUCACCGUGCACGUUAGAAAAGUCGUACGCGCUUUAAUGGCGCCUCGUCACCGCGUUCGGCGGUUUACGAGGAAAGUAAAAAGGAUCAUUGUGCAAUUAUUAACUGUAAGAUAGAGAUCUACAGAUGUACCCUAAUUAGUAUCGUUCCUGUUCGUUUACACUUUACAACCGGAGAAUUCUUUCGUUUUAUGUAGAUCAUCGUGUUACGCAGCUGUACGACGUUCUUUAUACGUCGAGGACGAACUGUUCCGAUGAAUUUCGAAUUUAAGAUCAAUCGAUUAAGCGUGACACUGUUUAAUUCAUACUAUAGACGCGCACAGUUCGUUAGUUUGCUUCGCAUAAAUUCAACGGAAUAAAUAAUUGAAGAAUCGAAAUUCGAACGAGAUUAGAAGAACGCUACGCUCUGGUGUAAUUAGUAAGAAAAAAAAAAAGUUGGAACGAUCACAGAAGAAAUUACACGAUUAGAUUCUUUCACAUCUUCCUUUUGCGAAAAUUCUCAACAGAAUUUCUUCAUUGUCUUCUUCUUCUAACAGCAGCGAAAGUGCAAGUCAAUUUCGAUCCAUUAUCUAAAAAAUGAUGAAUCAUUUUACGAUCAAAUUAUACCUGUUUUGUAACUAUAUUAUGCGCAUGUUAAUACACGUAAUACCUGAUUACGACAGAUAAUUAAUUUUUCUAUUUGCUUAAACGUAAUAUUUUUUCGUUUUUCUCGUGACGUUGUACGUAAUACUGUUACUUUUCACAGGGAUUUUUAUUCAUUGCGUUCGAUCAUAUAUCUCUUCAAGAAUGUUGACAUACAGCAUCGAUCGAUCUCUUCUUUCUUUUUUAUCACAGUAAUUAAGCAAGUUAAAGCUUCAAUGGUGUCAAACGCGAAUAAAUCGUCUAGUACAAUAAACAAUUAAGAUAAUUUGAUGCAGAUUAGAAAUGUUUCUGAAGAUAAUCUAGUCGUGAAAAACGGGAAAACACACAAAAAACAAACUUCGUUGAUGAAUCCACGACGAAAGAAAAACAAAUAGAAACGGAGAUCGUAACGAAUACGACCAAUUAGUGAAUGGGACAAACUGCACAUUUAGGAAGAAAUUACAAAUAAAACAAGUGUAAACGUCGUAGCUGAAACGCAUCGUCACCGUGCAUUUUUCUAGUAAAACAAUUGGAUAGAUCGUUUGAUUUUUUUGUUAUCUUGUCCUAAACACAAAAGUGUCUAAUUCAUGUUAGUUCUGUCUUAUUCCCAACGAACACGUCAUACUAAUUUUUAUCGAAUUUCACGAAAUUGUGUACGACAUUAAAGCGAUUUCUCGAAGAAAAAGCUUUGCAUCACGAUACGCCUGCACCUUUAUCUUGCUCCUCUUUACCGAGAACUUCUCCCCGUGGCAUUCUAAUAAAACUGAAAUUAUUU